rnacentral:rRNA from 1 species
UGGGGAAUAUUGGACAAUGGGCGCAAGCCUGAUCCAGCCAUGCCGCGUGUGUGAAGAAGGCCUUUUGGUUGUAAAGCACUUUAAGCGAGGAGGAGGCUACUUGGAUUAAUACUCUAGGAUAGUGGACGUUACUCGCAGAAUAAGCACCGGCUAACUCUGUGCCAGCAGCCGCGGUAAUACAGAGGGUGCGAGCGUUAAUCGGAUUUACUGGGCGUAAAGCGUGCGUAGGCGGCUUUUUAAGUCGGAUGUGAAAUCCCUGAGCUUAACUUAGGAAUUGCAGUCGAUACUGGGAAGCUAGAGUAUGGGAGAGGAUGGUAGAAUUCCAGGUGUAGCGGUGAAAUGCGUAGAGAUCUGGAGGAAUACCGAUGGCGAAGGCAGCCAUCUGGCCUAAUACUGACGCUGAGGUAAGAAAGCAUGGGGAGCAAACAGG